CUGGCCGUACAUUAUUAUCUGUCCACUCAAUGCAUUAGCCUGGGGUUGAGGAAUUUUGCCAUCUGUAAUGUUCUCAGCUGCAUCUCCUUUCAUAUACAUGAAAUUGGAGGUAUACUAUUCAAUUACAGUUGCAACAUUCUAUGCUAACUUACUAGGCAUGGACAACAUUUUCUUGAAAUAUUUGCUAUUUGAACUCAUUAAAUAAUGCACUUGGUAAAUGAUAGUACAUGAAAUAUUAGUUAUAACAGAGUAGACUUUCUAGUGUACUGUGUAUCAUGAUAAUGCAUGUCAGAGAGAUUUCAUAAUUUAUCUGAGCAAAUACUUAGUGCUGGAAUAAUAUCAGAAAGUGCUCUAUGUUUUAUCUGUUAUUAUUUGCUUUCAGUGUGCUGCAUUCUCUGUAGUUUGAAAAUUGUUUUCUGCAAUAAGAUCUGGUCAAUAAACCUUGUUGCUGUGUGGUGCUUUUCUCCGGUUAGACAUCUUGGUUGUGAACUCGAUCGAUGUGAUUAUUCAAUUUUAGUCCUUGACUAUGUCCUCAAUUUUGUUGUGACUCGUUGAACAUUGUAAAUUGUCCGUUGACCAUGAAGUUGUGAACACUUCACCGCUAACUUCAUUUCUUGAGCCUCAAAAAGAAUUUUGGCCUGCAUGGAGAAGCAGGACUUGAAUAAGUUACAACAUGGUCAACCAUGGACCAUGUGGAUGCCAUAUGACAAAUAUUCAUUAGAAUACAAAAUGGAGCAAAGUGGUAAAUAAAUAACAUAGUAGGGAGAAGGUUUCCUAACAUUUAAACAGGUGGGUGACACCGUUUCAAGGGACUAAAAAAUCGCAAUACUCUCUCAAAACAACAUGUUAUUAAUACAUAUCUUCUGGUUAUUAGCAUUAUCUGUUGGAGUUAAUGUUAUCUAAGUAUCUGAAAUUCAUCUGUAUCCAGCUUCACAGAGCUCUGCAAUAACGGUCAUGAGGCAAAGGAUUUCUCUGGUGUAUUUCGGUACUAUUACUCUGGAAAGGAUGAGCAGUAAUCCCCUCAGCUAAGGUAGAUGUCUUGGCUAGAGUUUCUGGUUCCACAAUUCGGAAUCCGGAAAGCUUGAUCCAAGAUUACUUGCUUGGUGCCCUGCAGAAAAAAUAAAAAUCUGUAUAGUAGAUGUUUUUAAUCCUUUUCUUCUUGCAUUUCAACAAUUCACUUGGUUGGAAUUGUGUAUAAAUGAUGAACAGUGAAGUUAGUGGACUGAUUUUUUAAUUUUACUGAUGUUAUAUGAAGUUUCCACUAAUGGUGUUAGAUACUUAAAUUUAAAUGGGAAAAGGCAUAAAUUCACCCCUAAAGUUGUCCCGAAAAGCCAGUUACACACUUAAACUAUUGGGGUGACCUAUUACACACCUAUACUAUUCAAAAGUGAAUAUUUUUCAGCGAGACAUCUAAAAUUGGUCAAUUCUUACUAUUUCCACAUCAAAUUCCUCAAGUCAAACACUGAUUAUUCAAUUUAAAAGUCUUUUUGUUGAUUGUGAGCAUUUGAAAUAAGAAAUUUUUUAGAUCUUUCUUUUUCUGUGUAAAAAGUUUCUGGAUUUUGCACAAAAUUUAACUUUUUAAUGUAUGUUCAUAGAUCUUUCUUCUCUCUUAGAAAAAUUCUCUCUAGAUUUUCUUCAAAAUCGGUAAUAAUAAAUCGAGCAUUAAUUUUUCAAUUGUUUGACAAAGAUCUUUGCGAAUAAAUAUUGGAAGUUUUUGUCAUUCUCCUCUUUGAGCUUGAAUGAAAUUUGUGAUAAUCUUUUGUGGUGGGUUUGGUGAUGGGUUAUAAAAUUAGUGGUGGUGUGGCUUUUAAUUUCGAUAAUGACAAUGAAACUCGUGAUUUUGAUGUGGAUGCUGAAAUUUAUUGUUAUGAUUGUGAUGAAUUUCAAUGGUAGCGAUGUGGUUUCGAUGGUGAAUUUAGUUAAAUUUAUUAUGGUUGUUAUCAAUUUUUGAUGAUGGCAGUGAUUGUGGAAGAUUCUGGUGGUGAAUUUGGUUGUGGGUGGUGAAAUCUAUGGUGAUGGAGAAGUGAAUUUGGUGAUAGUAGCAACAAUGGUAGUGGUUUAAUGGUGGAUGUGAUGGUGUAUAGGGAAGAAGAAACAAUUGGGCGAUAUGAAUUUUCUUUUUUGAAAUCUGACGUAAGUAUUGAUGUGGUAGUGAUAUGGUAAUGACGUGACGCGAGUGUGAAACACUUUCUCAUCAUCUGCCUGGUUGUAUGUUCGUCAGGGUUGGAAUAAAUUCACUUUUAAAUAAUUCAGGUAUGUAAUAGGUCGUCACAAUAAUUUAAGCGUGUAACUGACUUUUCGUAACAAGUUCAGGGGGGGAAUUUAUGCCUUUCCCAAAUUUAAAUUUCUGUUGAGAUAUUUUAGGUUGUCCAAUAUGUAUUUGCUGGGAAGUAGGCUUACAUUAAUUAAAAUAUUUUAUUUAUAUAUUACGAAAAAGGGUAAAAAAUGCUCCUUCUCUUUAUCUAUUAGGAAAAAUUUCUUGUUAUACAACUGGGAUAAAGUUAUAUUAUUGUUAUACAUUAUGUACUAUUAAAAAAUUAGUAAAUAUUGUUAUAAUAUGUUUUGCUCAUAAGUAAGCUAAUAUAGAAACUUAUUUGUCAUUUGUUUUUAUUUUAUUUUUAAUUUCAAUUUUAAAUAGCAAAUAAAUGCAGCGAUGGGAUUGAAGGUAGAAAUGAAACAUAUCUUUCUAAAUUUAAGUAAAAAUAAAUAGAGUAGAAGUAGGGGUGUCGACGAAAUCAAAGAAUAUAUAGACUGGUAGAGGCCCUCUAUGUAGUUGUCUAUUUAGGGCGAUCGAUCUACAUCUUUCCCCAUAGCCCUGAGGUUGUGUCUCGAUCUCCUAUGUGCUAAAUAUAAGGGACUAGUUCCUAUAGAGAUUCCCCUUGGUCUAACAGACGGUUCGGUUGGUUAUUUUUAAAAAAAUUACAUCAUCUCAAUUUUCCGGCUAUUUUAUGAUGUAUAAUCAAAAUUAAUUUUUUUAAAACCAUCUCAAUCCCUAUUUAGGACACAAGCAAUACAAAAUUAGCCUCUUUUUUUUGUUGUCUUGUAGAUAUUUUAAGUUAUUAAUUAUUGUAAUUUAUAGUACUUUCUAUGUAAUUUUUAAAUAACAUAUGUUACUUUCUAUGUUCCAAUUUAUGUGCCACUAUAAAAUUUUGAGAGUUAACCAAUUUUUUUAUAUGUCUUUUCAAUAUUUUAAGUUGUUAAUUAUUGUGAUUUAUAGUAAUUUUUAGGUCAUUCUCAAAUAAUAUAUGUUACUCUCUUGGUCCCAUUUUAUCAGGCACAGUAAAAUUUUGAGAGUCAACUAAAUUUUUAUGUCUUUUAAAUUACUCAUAUUAAUUAUUGUAAUCUAUAGUAUUGUUUAUGUAGUUCUCAAAUAUAUAACAAACUAAAAUAAAAUAAAAUAAACAAACAAAUUAAAAUGAAAAAAAUAAAAAAAUGACCACGAUAAAAAGAAAGCAAUAAGGUUGUUCCAUGAUAAAGCAAGAGAGUGGGUCCGAUUAUGACAUAUAAACAUAAUUGGCAAUGUGUUAGCCAUCACAAAACAAAGGGUACAAUUGUCCAAGGAAAGAACUUAGAAGUGGUUGUGUCUCAUAAAAGAGAAGAAGCAGCUUUGAAAAAGAAUGAAUUGACCAAAAUAGCCUCAAAUUGAAUAUCAAUUUCAAAUAACAUACAUGUUAACGGAGAGGAGGUUGCUAUUUGUCCUUUUUUAGUAGUAAAAUAAUAGUGAAAUAUAUAUUGUUGCGAAAUAGAGUUAGAACAGAAGGAGUAUACCUUGUAUCCUAACUCUAAUCAUAUUCUAACUCUAAUGUAUCUCCUUAGAUUUGUAGUUGUACUAGGAUUCUACUUGUGGCCGUAUGUAAUUGUAUAAGUAGCAUAAGUGAAACGACCCCAAAAAUGCCCGAAAAUGUGCUUCGGAAACACCUAUAAUUGUAAUUUCCAUAUAUCUCAAAAUCCGUUUCGUUUUUCGAAAAUCCGACUUCAUAUUCUUGUUUAGGGGGUCAAAUUGAGUGGGAAAUGGGUCUAACCCAAAUUUUAGAGCAACCGUAUCAAAAUCCGAAAUUUCCAAGUGAAGCCUUUUUCGAGGGUCUACUUUGGAGGGUCAUAUCUCCUAGCACACAAAUUAUUGGGUGGCCAAUAACAUAUCCAUGGAAAGCCCUUUGAGUUAGCUACCUAACGCACUUCGUUUCACCUCAUUCGGAGUUCGGACGAAGAAGUUAUGCCCAUUUUCGUAAAAUCUGUCCGGCAGGAAAGGCAAUUUCCAGUGAGCGUUUUUACUGUUCACCCGCCUCAUUUUUUUUUCUAAGUGUUGGACCAUUUUUCCAAAGGGCAUAUGUUAUUUCCUAUAUACCAUUAGUUCAAUUCCCAUCUCUAAAACAUUUCCCAAAACACCUCUCCCAUACUUAGACACAUUUUCUCUCAAGUUCUCUCAAGAACCCUAAUCCAAAACCUUCCUCAAGAUUGAAGAGACUCUUGCUCCAAGUUCCAAGCUUCCAUUGAAGACACUCUCAAGACCUUCAUAAAAACUCAAGGUAUGUGGUGUUGAACUCAUGGGUCCUUCCACCCAUAGUGCCUAGACUCUAUUCUACUCACUAAUUCAUGGUUUAAGUUAAGAUUCAUAAAUUAGUCUUGUUCUUUGUAAUAAUUUCCUGCACAUUGAAUUUUAAACAUGAAAAGUGAUUGUUUUGAGCAUGUUGUGACCCUAGAACUUGAACCUAAAUUUGGAAUGGAUGUGGAGAUUUUCAUGUGGUAUUGUGGGUGUUAAAAAGGUGUUGUUGUAGGUUGUUCACUGGUUUGGCUGCAUAAUUACUACCCUAUUUUCCAUGCUCUUUGAUUCCAUUACAUGCCUUCAAGGUGUUUGACAAAAUGUCCAACUAUGGAGAAUUGAUGAAUCGAUGCUUUAAAGCUUGAGUUAUGAGAUGUAUGGAAAUCCAGAGAUGUGUUGAUGACAAACUAAGCUUGUGUAUAUGUUCAUUCCAUACGUGAGAUUGCAUUAGAGCCUAAUGGGAAUUUCCUAUAUAAAGUGUUGCAUGACCAUGCCCGGUCCGGGGGAAAAGAACCGGACAACCAUGUGAGAGGUUUAUAUCUCACCACCUAGGAUGCUUGGGGUGUGACCAACAUCAACCAUGUGAGAGGUUUAUAUCUCACCACCUAGGAUGCUUGGGGUGUGACCAACAUCAACCAUGUGAGAGGUUUAUAUCUCACCACCUAGGAUGCUUGGGGUGUGACCAACAUCAACCAUGUGAGAGGUUUAUAUCUCACCACCUAGGAUGCUUGGGGUGUGACCAACAUCAACCAUGUGAGAGGUUUAUAUCUCACCACCUAGGAUGCUUGGGGUGUGACCAACAUCAACCAUGUGAGAGGUUUAUAUCUCACCACCUAGGAUGCUUGGGGUGUGACCAACAUCAACCAUGUGAGAGGUUUAUAUCUCACCACCUAGGAUGCUUGGGGUGUGACCAACAUCAACCAUGUGAGAGGUUUAUAUCUCACCACCUAGGAUGCUUGGGGUGUGACCAACAUCAACCAUGUGAGAGGUUUAUAUCUCACCACCUAGGAUGCUUGGGGUGUGACCAACAUCAACCAUGUGAGAGGUUUAUAUCUCACCACCUAGGAUGCUUGGGGUGUGACCAACAUCAACCAUGUGAGAGGUUUAUAUCUCACCACCUAGGAUGCUUGGGGUGUGACCAACAUCAACCAUGUGAGAGGUUUAUAUCUCACCACCUAGGAUGCUUGGGGUGUGACCAACAUCAACCAUGUGAGGGGUUUAUACCUUGCCACCAGGGUGUCCGGGUGUGAACGGCAUCCCCCAUCCUAAGUUGGGGUUAUAGAUUGGUUGGAUCAUGCAUACACAUAUGAUAUCUACUAUUAGUAUAGAGUUACUUAAACAUGUUUUGACUUCACUUUGAUCAUGCAUCCUCAUAUUGUUAUUCAUAAUGCCUAUGAAACUAUUUCUUGUAUUUCGAUUGUGUCCUUGUUUAUUGUUGUGUUGCACCCCGCAUACUUAGUACAUUCCAAGUACUAACGCAUAUUUUGCCUACAUGAUGUCACCAUGUAGGGACCGGAGUUACUCUUGAUCCUUCUCUUCAUUCACGUGGCUAGUACGGUGCUUAUCCGAGUUGUUGGUGAGUCCUCAAUGAUUCGAGGGCUAUGUUAUGUUUCCUACUCCUAUGUUUUGAGACUUUAGCUUGUAAUUGUAUUUUGACUAUGAGGGGAGCCGGUAGAAUGUCAUGGCCCCGUCCUAUCUAUGUAUGUAGAGGUGUGCGUUGGACAAGUAUUUUGUAAAUGAGCUUGACUCUUGUUCUAUGAUGUCAUUUUGAAAUGGUUGCCCUUAGUCCCUAUUUCCCGUUAAUUAAUGUUGAAUGUACUUCCGCGACCGAUGAAGUGUGAUGACAAGUUUGAGAGGCUUGUUUGGGGUUCCUUCGGGUUCCUCAUUCGCCAUGUCACGUCUAGGCCCUAGGCUUGGGUCGUGACAAUAAGUAUUGUACACAAUUAUCAAGAAAUAAUAUCCUCCCUUCUCUCUGGUUAUGUGUUUUCUACAUGGUAUCAAAGCAUUGACACACACAAACCUAUGCUUCAUCAAACUUGUUCAAGAACCAAUGGCUUCCUCUUCACAGCCUCUUUGUCCCUCUCAACUUCUUCAUUGCACCAUCUUAUGGUUGCAUGUCCUAUCAAACUUAAACCUACCAAUUACCUUAAAUGGAGAACACAAAUUCUACAACUGAUGCAAGUAAUGAAGGUGACUAAGUUGGUCCAAGAAAACAAAGCUGAUGACACCAGCCAAAGAUAACAAUGGAAAGGCAGUUGAUGGACAAGAGAAAGCUUCCGAUAGUAAUUGGGAUGAAGAAGAUGUUCUGCUAAGAACCUGGAUCUCAGGAACUAUGACUGAAGAGAGCAUGUAUCUCAUUGUGGGCUGCUCAACAGCCAAGGGGAUGUGGGAAUGCUUGGAGGAAGCCUACCUUCAAGCAACAAAGGAUAAAGAGUUCCAACUUAAGCAACAAUUGCUAAACAUUAAGUUAGGAACCAAGAAACUUGAUGAGUACUUGAAAGAAUUCAAAGGCAUAUGUGAUGGACUUGCUGCCAUACACAAGCCAGUUAAUGAAGACAACAAAGUCAUUAACUUUGCCCGAGGACUGGGUCCAAAGUACAAGACAUUUAGGACUGUUAUGUUAGGAAAGCCCCCUAUCCUACCUUCAAUCAAUUUGUCAAUACUCUUAGAGGUUUUGACAUGAGAGAAUAAGAGGAAGAGGUGCCCCAACAAGACUAUAACAUGACCUUUACUUCACAGAGAGGUAGGGGUCGAGGGAGUUACAAUCACAUGAGAGGUAACUCUAGUUUUAACUCAAGAGGAAGAGGAUUCAGGGAUGCUAGACACUCAAAUAAUAAUCAAAACAGUCAUAAUAUGCAGACUACAAACACUGAGAAAGUAAAACCCAUGCCUACCCUAUGUCAAAUAUGUGGUAGAAAUAAUCAUACUGCUUUGAAAUGCUUCUAUACGUGGAAUUACUCUUAUCAAGCUGAAGAUGAUCUUCCGCAGGCCCUAUCCUCCAUGAACAUGCAGAAUAUCAUAGGUGAAGAUGCUGCAAUGUAUGUGGAUUCUGGUGCAACGAACUCACAUGACAAACACAUCAGGUAAUCUAUCUGAUCUUCAAAUUUAUAAUGGGACAGACAAAAAAUUGUUGGCAAUGGUUCGCAAUUAGCAAUUACAUAUGUUGGAAAUCUCAACAAGUCAAGUUUGAAAGUUAAAGAUAUACUGGUAGUCCCUAAAAUCACAAAGAAUAUUCUUUCAAUUAGUAAACUUGCAAAAGACAAUUUUGUAACUCUUGAGUUUGAUGAAUUUGGUUUUCUUAUUAAGGACAAGAAGUCAGGAACACCACUGGCCAAGGGCUCUAAUGCAGGAUGACUCUAUCAAUUGGAAGACAACAAUCUUUUUGCCUUAACAACAACACAAGAUUGGAAGAGGUCAGAGAGUAUUUGUCACUCUAGAUUAGGACAUCUUAGUCUGAAAUCUUUAAAAAAAUUUAGUAGAGCAAUAAAUGCAUCGGUGUUUGGAGUUGGAAUAAGGUGCCCAGUAUUUGUACUAGCUGUCAAUUAGGGAAAAGUUGUAAACUUUCUUUUGAGUUGAGAAAUAAAAUUGAGCAGAUUCCUUUACACAAAAUACAUUGUGAUCUUUGGGGAUCAACACCUGUUGAGUCUUCCCAACAUAUGAAAUACUAUGUGAUCUUUGUGGAUGAUAAUACUAAAUAUACUUGGCUCUAUCUCUUUGUGGAUGAUAAUAAUAUAUAUACUUGGCUCUAUCCUUUGAAGAAGAAAUCUGAAUUCUUUGAAGUUUUUCUCAAGUUUCAACAAAUGGUAGAAAAAUAAUUUUCGAAAACUAUUAAAAUUUUCCAGUGUGAUGGAGGUGGUGAAUUUAUCCAAAUUGAGUUUGUCAAGCAUUUGGAGACCUGUGGCAUCAUUAGGCAAAUAUAUUAUCCUCACACUCCUGAGCAGAAGGGAGUUUCCAAGAGGAAACAUAGACACAUAGUGGAAACUGGGCUGACCUUGUUGUUUCAUGCUAAGUUGCCUCAGUUCUUAUGGGUUGAAGCAUUUCUAACUGUCGUGUUUCUAAUAAACAGAAUGCCUUCCUUAGUUCUAAAGCAUGGUAUCCCGUUUGUGAAGCUUUUUGGUGCCUCUCCUGAUUAUAAUAGCCUGGAAGUUUUUGGUUGGAGAUGUUAUCCUUACCUGAAGGGAUAUAAUAAGUUCUCACCAAAGACAUAUCUUUGUAUAUUUAUUGGCUAUAGUAGCCUACACAAAGGAUAUAGGUGCUACCAUCCACAUACCAGGAGGGUGUAUGUGUCUAGGCAUGUCAUAUUUGAUGAGCGCGCAUUGCCCUAUGUGCAGACUAAUAAGCAUAAUAUUAAUAUCUCACCUCAUCUUGCACUUUCCUUGAAUUUUUCUCCAUUGUGCAGAAUCCAGAUACCAGUUCAAGUGACACUAUCACUUCAGGGGAAGUGUUGGACAACUUGAAUGAAACAAUUGCACCAACAACUAUAACAGUGGUAGACAC
rnacentral:lncRNA from 1 species